rnacentral:rRNA from 1 species
UACAGAGGUGGCAAGCGUUGUUCGGAAUUACUGGGCGUAAAGGGCGCGUAGGCGGUUCGUUAAGUCCUGUGUGAAAUCCCCCGGCUCAACUGGGGAACUGCACAGGAAACUAGCGGGCUUGAGUUCGGGAGAGGGAAGCGGAAUUCCGGGUGUAGCGGUGAAAUGCUUAGAUAUCGUCAAGAACACCUAUAGCGAAGGCAGCUUACUAGGCUGUAACUGACGCUGAGGCACGAAAGUGUGGGGAUCAAACAGG